rnacentral:rRNA from 1 species
CGUCUUAUUCAAAACCCCACUUAUGACCUCCCAUCUCUCCCUCUUCACACCUCGGAACGCGCCGUUCUUAUAGAGAUAAAGGCGCUUUGACAUCUUCUUAACCCGAAAUGGCUGGGGAGAG